UUCUUCUUCAUCUUGAUAUCCGUAGAGUGAGCUGAAAGUUUUGGUGGAUUACGAAAAAAGAAUUGCAUCGACCGGGAAUCGAACCCGGGCCGCCCGCGUGGCAGGCGAGCAUUCUACCACUGAACCACCGAUGCUUG
ensembl:ncRNA Y37B11A.4 ncRNA